UACGAGGGGUGCAAGCGUUGCUCGGAAUUAUUGGGCGUAAAGGGUAGGUAGGUGGUCUCAUUUGUCAGGGGUGAAAGCCUUGGGCUUAACUCAAGAAGUGCCCCUGAAACGGUGAGACUCGAGUUCUGGAGAGGGUCGUGGAAUUCCCGGUGUAGCGGUGAAAUGCGUAGAGAUCGGGAGGAACACCAGAGGCGAAGGCGGCGACCUGGACAGAUACUGACACUCAACUACGAAAGCGUGGGGAGCAAACAGG
rnacentral:rRNA from 1 species